rnacentral:rRNA from 1 species
CCAAUAGCGUAUAUUAAAGUUGUUGCAGUUAAAAAGCUCGUAGUUGAAUUUCGGGAUUGACGUGAUGGUCAUGCCUUAAGGGGUAUGAACUGUUACUGUUGAUUUCUCACCUUCUGGAGAAACUUGAUGUCCUUUAUUGGGUGUCUUGCGGAUCCAGGACCUUUACCUUGAAAAAAUUAGAGUGUUUAAAGCAGGCAUUUUUGCUCGAAUACAUUAGCAUGGAAUAAUAGAAUAGGACGGCAUGGUUCUAUUUUGUUGGUUUCUAGGAUCACCGUAAUGAUUAAUAGGGAUAGUUGGGGGCAUUAGUAUUCAAUUGUCAGAGGUGAAAUUCUUGGAUUUAUUGAAGACUAACUACUGCGAAAGCAUUUGCCAAGGAUGUUUUCAUUAAUCAAGAACGAAAGUUAGGGGAUCGAAGACGACCAGAUACCGUCGUAGUCUUAACCAUAAACUAUGCCGACUAGGAAUCAGACGAUGUUAAUUUUUUAAUGACUCGUUUGGCACCUUAC